GGACAAUGGGCCAGGCCUCGCGAGCCGCUCAAGCACCCAUCACCGACUGCGCACCCAAGUGCCUGCCUGCGCGGCUCCACAGAGCUGAGCCCCAGCCAGCUGAGUCGGGAUCCUGCACACUCACACCUAGAAGAAUCCCAACAAACACAAGCCCGGUCCUAGACACCUUUAAAGAAAGCUGCUCUCCGCGGAUGUGACUCACGGAUUCUAACGGGCUCCAUCUGCAGCAGCUUCACCGCCCAUCCUGCUGACUCGGACCUCUGCCCAGAGGAGCUCCAGGGUCGCGUUACUGACCCGACGGGCAAAAGAAAGCCUGGUGAGUGUCCUUUGAAAGGGCAGAAGACGGCAUUCGCACUUCGAGCCACGGACGCCCUCCUGGACAGUGGCAGCUGCCUGGAACCCAGCAGAAGGGACCGAGCGGGCGAGGGGACGCCCGCCUGUCGGGCCUUCAGACGUUCGUCCAAAGCCCUCAACCGCCCCUGCGGAGGUGCUUCCUUCUAGUGAAAUGGAAAGGGCACCCAGCGGGCUGUGAGUCAGCGGGCAGCUCGAGCCUCGGCCUCGGCUUGACCGUGACGCGGUCCCUUCGCGUCCAGCCCGGUUUCUUCACCAGCCCGUUAAACACAGGAAGGGCAGCUCAAGCUCAUGGCGCAGUUGGCACUAUUUUCAGUUUCGCCAACAGUACCUGUUCAAGAACGACAGGGUAAAGCGUGCAUUUCGAGAGGGAAAAAUACACCCCUUCAUCCCGCCGUUGCGACCCAACAGAUGUUUUUCUUAUCCGAUCAGCGCGGGGUGGCCGGUGCGCCCCGUCUGGUCUUUAACAAGGUGUCCUAACCACGUCCCCACGUCUCGACGCUGUCGCCCCCAUUAGGCUGCUCAGAUGUGCCUGGAUGCCCGGGGACCCCCCGACGGAGGCCCAUCUCCGCGCCUCGUUUCCCUCCUCAAAGCACACCCGAUCCCGAAGAACCGGCAGGCGCCGCGUGUCACCCCGAAGACUCUGAGAGCCACGGAAGCGGGAAUUUCACGGCUUCCCAUCCAGCAAACACUCUCCAACGCCCAGCGGCAGAGCCCGUUCCUCCCAGGCUCUGACUUUCCUGCUCCCCCAGCACAGCCUCUCAAAACCACCGCUCCUUUGGGUCCGCUCCGAACUCCACAGAGCAAAACAACAGCCAGAGGGCAUUUCUUUUUUUUUAAUGAUUUUUAUUUUUUCCGUUACAGGUGAUUUACAGUGUUCCGUCAAUUUCUACCGUGCAGCAAAGUGAGCCAGUCAUACAUUUAUACACACACACAUUUUCUUUUUCUCACUUUAUCCUCCGUCAUGUCCAUCACAAGUGACUGGACAGAGCUCCCUGUGCUAUGCAGCAGGACCUCAUUGCUUAUCCACUCCCAAGGUCAGACGGCAUUUCUUUUUUUUUUUUUUUUUUUUUUUUUUUUUUUUUUUUUUGUCUUUUAGGGCUGCGCUUGCGGCAUAUGGAGAUUCCCGGGAUAGGGGUCGAAUCGGAGCUGUUGCUGCCGGCCUACGCCAGAGCCAUAGUAACUUGGGAUCCGAGCCAUGUGCAACCUACACCACAGCUCACGGCAAUGCCAGAUCCGUAACCCACUGAGCAAGGCCAGGGAUCGAACCCGCAACCUCGUGGUUCCUAGUCAGAUUCGUUUCUGCUGAGCCUGAACGGGAGCUCCUUCGAUGACACUUCUUAAGGAUGGGCUUGGAAAUUAAUUUCACAGCAUUAUUUAUUCAUUCAUCCCCAGAAUACAUACCAAACACCUUUAUAUGCUGGCCGUUAUUUUCGGGGCUGAGGGAUUCUUCUUUCAACAAGAGGAAAAAACCUUGGUUCUCUUGGGACCUGAUAGUCCUCAGUGUUCACGCCAAUGAAGGAAGUGGUGGGAGUUAUUUUAACAGUCCAGUCAUUGCCGACCCCUGUGUUAUUUCCGAUUCUCCCCUCCUGCUGUAAAUAACACCACACGGAACAUCUUCGUGGCUUCGGCUCCUAUUUGGGAAUUAAAAGAAAAAAA
rnacentral:lncRNA from 1 species